UGGGGAAUAUUGCACAAUGGAGGGAACUCUGAUGCAGCGACGCCGCGUGAGUGAUGAAGGAAUUCGUUUCGUAAAACUCUGUUCUAUGGGAAGAAAAGGAGUGUACCAUAGGAGAAAGCUCCGGCUAAAUACGUGCCAGCAGCCGCGGUAAUACGUAUGGAGCGAGCGUUGUCCGGAAUUAUUGGGCGUAAAGGGUGCGCAGGCGGCUUUACAAGUUGGAUGUGAAAUAUUGUGGCUCAACCACAAACGUGCAUCCAAAACUGCAAAGCUUGAGUUAAGGAGAGGUAAGUGGAAUUCCUGGUGUAGCGGUGGAAUGCGUAGAUAUCAGGAGGAAUACCGGUGGCGAAGGCGACUUACUGGACUUAAACUGACGCUCAGGCACGAAAGCGUGGGGAGCAAACAGG
rnacentral:rRNA from 1 species